rnacentral:rRNA from 1 species
CCUACGGGAGGCAGCAGUAGGGAAUCUUCCACAAUGGGCGAAAGCCUGAUGGAGCAACGCCGCGUGGGUGAAGAAGGUCUUCGGAUCGUAAAACCCUGUUGUUAGAGAAGAAAGUGCGUGAGAGUAACUGUUCACGUUUCGACGGUAUCUAACCAGAAAGCCACGGCUAACUACGUGCCAGCAGCCGCGGUAAUACGUAGGUGGCAAGCGUUAUCCGGUUUUAUUGGGCGUAAAGGGAACGCAGGCGGUCUUUUAAGUCUGAUGUGAAAGCCUUGGGAUUAACCCGAGUAGUUAAUUGGAUACUGUGAGACGUGAGUGCAGAAGAGGAGAGUGGAACUCCAGGUGUAGCGGUGAAAUGCGUAGAGAUAUGGAAGAACACCGGUGGCGAAGGCGGCUCUCUGGUCUGUAACUGACGCUGAGGUUCGAAAGCGUGGGUAGCAAACAGGAUUAGAUACCCUUGUAGUC